GCACUGCGCCAUCAAAUGAGUCAAGCGGAAGGACCGGUACCCCUCCGGGAAAACCAGGCACUAACACACGGUGCACCCAACUGAAUUUAAACUCGGGAACAGUGUAGGCAGUGUCAACAAAGCGCGGUGCUGGGUCCCGAGCGUCCAAAGGUCCCUGCCAGCUCCCAGACGCGGCCAAAUCCACAGGAUUCCAAAAGUACAGACGGGGUUUCACCGUAUUAGCCAGGAUGGUCUCAAUCUUCUAACCUCGUGAUCUGCCCACCUCGGCCUCGCAAAGCGCUGGGAUUACAGGCGUGAGCCUCCGCGACCGGCCAGAACUAGCUCUUCUUAAGGAUGUGACAGUGAUCUGCACUAGAGCUUCAGGCAGCUAAGGAUAUCUGAAAAGGAGAGACUCUAUGGAGUGUGGAUGUAGAAAAGGAGUUAUUCCUACCGGAAAAAAAUGAACUGUGGACACAGUCACUCAAGACCAGAGAAACAACCACUAUGAGUAAGUAGCUUCAAUUUCACUGUUACCAGGAGGGCACACACCAGAAAGCCUGGGACAAAGCCUGGGCUAGAGCCCUC
rnacentral:lncRNA from 10 species